ensembl:snRNA U1 U1 spliceosomal RNA
UCACUUACCUGGCAGGGGAGAAACCAUGAUGAGGAAGGUGGUUUUCCCAGGGUGAGGCUUAUCCAUUGCACUCCGGAUGUGCUGACCCCUGAGAUUUUCCCUAACGUGGGAAGCUCGACUGCAUAAUUUGUGGUAGGUAGUAGGGACUGCGUUCUCACUCUCCCCUG